CGAUAUUCAAAGCAAUAAUAAUACAUUGUCCCACGUGCAUUAAUCUACAUAUUAAAUCCCUGAAAAAAAAUUAUGACGGACAAAUAUCAGUAACAAUUGAAGUCACCAUCGACACCCAUGUCAAAUUUGGUUGUCGUAGUGAAAGGGGUCCUACAUGUAGAACUGCGCACACGUAUUAAAUUAAUGUAAUUCUAAAUCUUGAUUAUGAAGCUGACUGAAUUAAGUGAUUUUCACCUCGAGUUUUAAAUAAUGAUAAAUAUCACCAAAAAUAAAGGAAAAUGACUCAUUCUUUCUGGCAAACAAAUGGCAAUCUGGUUGCUAUUCACAGCAGAAAUUUUGCCCUCUGAAUUCUUCGUAUUGUGCAUAUUUUUGCAGGGUGCAAGGACCUGCACAGCUUUACUUUAGUUUAGGACCCCUAAUAUAUGCAAAGUGAAUGGGGGAUCCUGGGGCUAUGUAAUGGGAAAUAUCCUUAAUCUAUGUUUAUUUAUUACUUAUUGGUUUUAUGCCAAUUCGUCCAAUUACCAACUCGUCUACUAUCAUUUGGUCUAGUGUCAGUUCGUCCACUAUAUCCACACGGUCUAAUUGCCAUUCGACAACUUACCAUUUCAUCUGGGCUAAUUGGUCCAUUAUACCAGUUGGUCUAACUCUAAUUGGACUCUUGUUAAUCAGACAAAAUGAAUGAAAGGAAAAUGGGUACCAACUGGUCAUAGACAACCUGGUGAUUAAACAAAGUGAUUAUUAGACCAAAUGGAUGUUAGACGAAAUGUUGAACGAAAUGGCAUUAGACUAAAUGAAGGUACUAGAUCAUGCGAUGGGUGGACGAUUUGGCAGUAGAUGAAUUGGUAAUUUAACGAAAAAUAUGCAUAAAAAGGCUUGCAACAGCAUGAAAAUUGAUUUAUCUAGAUCUAGGUGAUAAAGGUGCUUUUAAAGGAACUGGUAUGAUAUCAAAUGAGAUAUUGUAUAAUCCCAAAAUGAAGAAGUUACACAGAAUUCUCUCAUUCAUUUAGAUCAUUAAUUAUAUAAAUUUAUGCAAAAUUCUUCAUAAAUACUGUAAAUGCUACUUCUCUAUUUUGCAGCUGAUUUUGAUCUUGUAUGUUUUAUUUGAAAUGGCUUGUUUGGGCCUACCAAACUUCUAGUUCUACACAGAAUUCUCAAAUUCAUUAGAUAUGCAAAUUUCUUGAAAUUUAUUAAAGAUUGACAAAGAUGCUAAUUCAGAUUUUUAUCCUGUUCUAUCUAAAUUCUAAUAGGGCUUGGUGGGGGGGGGGGCAUCCAAACUUCUACACAGAUUCAAACACAUAUGCAAAUUUAUGAAAAAUUAUUCAAAGUUCAUAAACAAUGCUGCUUCUACAUUGAUUGGAUAUGCAAAUUUAAUCAAAUUUAUUGAAUAUUCACAAAAAAUCUACUUCUACGUUAUGCUGUUUUAUCUAAAUUCUAAUAGAGCUUAUUUUAAUAGGGGCAUCCAAACAGAUUUCUCAAAUUCAGUACAAGUAGAUGUACAAAUCUACGACACAUUCAAAGUGCACGAAAAAUGCUACUUCUACAUUCCUUAGCAGAUUUUUAUUCUGUUUUAUCGAAUAGGGCUGGGGGGGGGGAGCUUCCAAACUUCUACACAGAAUUAUCAAAUUCACUAGAUAUGCAAAUUUAUUUAAGAUUCACAAAAAUGCUACUUCUACAUUUCUUUUUUUUUUAUUCUGUUUGUUUUAUCUAAAUUCUAAUACAUGUACUAGGGCUUGGUGUGGCCAUCCAAAUGCUGAAGUACCAGCUUAACAAGGUGAGCCUUUGAUCAUGUUCUUGCAUAGGGAGCUACAUAUGAGACAUGAAUUUGAAAUGUUUUUGUGUCAUAUGAUAUUUUAUGGUGUUUGUAAACUCUUUUCUCGCUUACAUGUACAUCAUGCCAUGCUUUGUUUGAUGGCCCUGGACUGAUUUUGUCUUGUAAACAAGGAGGAUGCCCAACGAGGGAACGUCAGUGGUGGGUAAGAAGUGGCUUCCACUAGCAGCUCCCAUGAGAUCAAUUCUGACAGCAUAACUAAAUGGAUCUUCAAAGUGCUUCAAUGUGAAGGAUAUUAUCCAAAGGCAUCCCCGUGGGAAAGAAAUAGUAUAACACAAACUCGACGAUAACGACAGAAACCAGAUGCCUUCUGACAACUAUUGUGUUUGCGGAAAUGGUCAAGAUUUUCACCUAGCGAGAUAGCACUGUUCUCAUUCAUCAUGGCAAUAUACAUGGUUCCAGCUCAAACAGCAAGAAGGAAGAGUUCACUGGCAGACUCCAUGGGAUACUUUUUGGUGACUAGACCAAUCAGUACAAGUGUGGAAUCCCACCUGGCUGAAGAGAUGAAUGACAAGAAGCGGAGACAACCAUACCUUUUGGGCAUAGGAGAUCACAACAACUCAUCUCAGUUUUUCAUUGUUGUGGAUGAUCUAGCUAUCCCCUGCGAAGGUGACAUCACAGAGGCUGUUGACAAACUGUUCAAGGUCCAAUUCUUGUUCAACAUCCACUAUGCAGAUGAAGUCUAUGGAUUUUUUCUGGGGAUUUUUUGCAUUCAUACAGAACUUUGUUUACGGCAUAAGUGGACAAGAAGCAGUUCCAGCCCAUGCCAGAGAAAUGAUGGCAAGCAUCACUGCCUUGGAAGUGACUGCAAACAAAUGACUGACUUCAGUAUUGCCUGUCCUCAAACGAGCAUAAUUAACUCAAAAGGGUGUGGAGGUCACAUGGUAGGAUCAAAGAUCAUUUGUAUUCAUGAAGUGCUGGCUGAUAUUUUUUUUUCUGUUCCCACUUGGAACAUUCUUCCCUGCUUAAAAUGAUAGAGGAUGUUCACUUUUUAAAUGUACACAAUUCCAUAAUCAAUGGAAGAUCACUGUUGAAUAAAUUUGGGUUUAUUCAUCCUCAAAUAUUCCAGGAUAUUCUCAUAUUUUUUAAAAGAAAAAAAUCUUGGUCAGUAA